rnacentral:tRNA from 1 species
GGGGUAUAGCUCAGUUGGUAGAGCACUGCUUUUGCAAGGCAGGGGUCAGCGGUUCAAAUCCGCUUACCUCC